UUUAUUGGAGAGUUUGAUCCUGGCUCAGGACGAACGCUGGCGGCGUGCCUAAUACAUGCAAGUCGAGCGGACCUUUUAAAAGCUUGCUUUUGAAAGGUCAGCGGCGGACGGGUGAGUAACACGUGGGCAACCUGCCUGUAAGACUGGGAUAACUUCGGGAAACCGGAGCUAAUACCGGAUAAUAUAAGGAACCUCCUGGUUCUUUAUUGAAAGAUGGUYUCGGCUAUCACUUACAGAUGGGCCCGCGGCGCAUUAGCUAGUUGGUGAGGUAAUGGCUCACCAAGGCGACGAUGCGUAGCCGACCUGAGAGGGUGAUCGGCCACACUGGGACUGAGACACGGCCCAGACUCCUACGGGAGGCAGCAGUAGGGAAUCUUCCACAAUGGACGAAAGUCUGAUGGAGCAACGCCGCGUGAGCGAUGAAGGCCUUCGGGUCGUAAAGCUCUGUUGUUAGGGAAGAACAAGUGCGAGAGUAACUGCUCGCACCUUGACGGUACC
rnacentral:rRNA from 1 species